GAUGGAGUCCAGACAGAAUACCAGGAGUUUGUGGCAUUGCCUAUGUGACAGAUGGCCAUACACCACUCUGCAGGGGGCUGUGGGCGGUAGUAGUUGUGAUAGGAGCCAGGGGCCCAGGAGGCAUGGCCAAAUUCCUACCAUCCCAUGAAGGCAGAAGUCACUGACCACCAGAUCUCUCGGAACCAGGCUGUCUGUGCACAGUUCAGUGCCCCACAUCACACGAGGUGAAGUUGCCCACAUGAUCAUUCUGUUUAAGGAUUCUUCCCAACUAUGAAACUACAGAUACCUGAAUUUAUCUUAGCAUCCCUACAAUCAUCAACUUUUCAUUGUAAGGCUCUGCUAUGAAGAGAAAAGGAUUUGCUAUUCUAUCAGUCAUUCAUUUUGGUGCACUUGUUGGAAUGAACUAAAAUGGUAAAAACUGCAAUUAUAGAAUAAAGCCCACUUCACUGGAGGUGGACCAUGCAGUGGGGUUGCUGCUUUAUACUAGUUUCCCUCUAACUGGGACACUCAAUUAUGAGAAGCACAUAGCACCGUGGACGGCGGACUGAAGACUUGCUCCCUGGAGAGAACCUCCGGAUUCUAAACACAGCUUGAUUUCCCAUGAAGAAAAGAAGCUGCUCAGCAGGGAAGUGAAAACUCUGCACAACAGGUCCCUGCUAUGAUGAUGAUCAGUGUGCCGAGCCUUUUAGGCAGGCAAUUGUUUUUUUUUAUCAUUAUUCUGCUCUGAGGCACUUUUAUAAUUUCAGAUUUCCAAAUGAUACAAGCACAAACUUACAGACAUCAUACUCAAGUCCACAAGAUCUAGAGGCUGUGCAGCUCAGACUUGAAACUAUGCCAUCUCAAUCCACAGCUCCCUAUCUCUGGCAAACCUUCACUGAAGUGCUUAAUGCCUAUGGCCAAAAGUCGGACGCUCAUGAAAAAAGCAGAACACUUUUGGAGAGUUCAUGCGAUUACUUUGAAGGUGACAUGACAAUCACUGGCUUGGACUAUGAAAUUGAGAACCCCACCUUGAGCUGUAAAAUCUUUGGGUGCCAAAAAGGAUUUCAUGAAUAGAUCCACUGAAGCCAAGGAUUCUCCACAAAUGAAGAAAAUCUUUUAUCGGUUUUAAGCUGCUCCUAUUUCAGGCUAAUGUUACUCACAGUUCAAUCUAAUCCUAAAUAAUAUAACCACUGUCCUGAAGGAACAGUGGCAGAAAAGUGCAUAUCAGGUAUCCAUCACAUAAAUCUACUUCUAUUAGGGAAUGAAGUCAAAUUAUCACCCCUUCUAGGUGCCCACUGUUGGAAGGAGCUUUGGAAAUACAAGCUGAAUCAAUGCACCCCGGUGUUAAGGAUGAAGAGUGAGUUCAUGCUUGCAUCUCCUUUAUAGGU
rnacentral:lncRNA from 1 species